GGGGAUGGCUGAGUCCCGGUGGAUUCCCCGGUCUUCAAAACCGGUGGCGGGCCGUUCUGCGGGCCGCGGUGGGUUCGACUCCCAUCCAUUCCCG
rnacentral:tRNA from 1 species